UUGACUCACUUUUGGAACGAGCCUCAAGUGGCCAUUAAAGGAACUGCAGUCAGGCGCUACACGUGGGCUUUGUUUUUCAUCCCUGGAGGUUUCCGCUCGCCUCAAACCUGGUCUGCAAAUGUUUUUCUGCUGUUCUGAACAGAUGUUAAACUUGAACAUGUUUCAUGUUAUUCUGGAAUAACAGAAAAUGUCUGAUUCGUCUUCACAGUCAGGUCUUUUAACAUUUUCUAGCAACCUGCAGCCUCUGAACGCUUCGUGACUCAACCCGUGUCAACAGCAAGUUAAGUGCUUUGUACUCGUCUAAGUCUCUGCGCAUUUUAUGAAAGAAAGCCAUCCAUGGAUAAACAUUCCCACUUCUGUUCGCUGUAGGCCUGCAACGUUGAUGAAAACCAGUGUUUUUCUGAGUUCAGGUGCAGAAAGGUCUUUAAAACAAAGACAAGAUGUUAAAUUAGGAUUCUGGUGAAACCAGGGCGUUAGUGCAAUGACAGGAAUGAGUCAAACAUCCUGUUUAUUGCUUUUCAUUUAUGUUUUUUCCAUUAAAUUUCAGUAUGAGUGCAGCAGCAGUGCGCAUGGCCAGCAUUAGUCAUGACUGCCCUGAGAGUUUUAAUAAUUAUGAUGCUAAUCGUGUCCCAAAUGACACCUCGGUGAUCCGCCCACCUCGUGUUUUCACUUCUGCCGACAUGGAAGUUCUAAUUACUCACUCGACUGGCAAAUCUCUCUCAUAGCCCGGUGUGGGCUUAUCUUUCUGCUGCGCCGUCUCGUGAUUUGAAUCAGAGUAACGUUUGUGCCACCUCACAAAUUUUGGGUGCACUUUGCUCUGCGGCAGCAGUGUGGGUUCAAGUAAAAGGUCAGAAUUCGCGUUCUUACUUUCAGAUCACUUUCAGGCUUCAGUUCUUGAGAUUCAAACUGAAAGAUGUUGAUAACAGCGCAGUUUUUUCAAUACAAUGCCAAAGCGAAGGCUGAAUAUUUCUUUGUCCAGUGCAAAGUUAGAAAAUAUUAUUAUUUGAGUCCCUUAAAUUGCUUUUUUCCUAUAAAACCAUAAAUAUUGGGUUUACCGUAAUCGAGGCUAAAAAAAACUCAACAAGACCUGACACUAAAGACGCAAAGACUAGUGCGUUCUGACUUUAAAAAAAGGACUUAAAUUACUAAAAGAUGAUCAAAAUAAUCAAUAUUAAAAGUAGCCCCUAGUUUGACAGUUUCCAAUUUGAUGGAGAAAGGUGUAUGAAAAAGCAUCCAGACAAGAAAAAUGUAGUUUUAUUGCUAUUUUUUAAAUUGAGUGUAAGACAAAAUAUAAAUAUGAAGUAGAUCUAAUAACCAGGUAUAUUAAAGUGAUGUGAAAUGUUUAGUGUUUCCACUUUUCUGGGCUUUAACCCAAAGGUUUUCCACCAUGACUCACAUUUUGACUCUAAUAAAGCCUCUUUAUGUUUAAGUAUACAGUCACUAAAAGAAACAUAUAGCCUAAAGAGCUGUUUUCUCUCACCUGUUUGUGUAGCGACCACUUUCCAACCAUUAAAAACUGCCUGCCAGUGUUUCACUCCUGGUUUCUUUAGUAAAACUCUGGCUCCCCCUGCUGUCUGAAGUCAGAACUGCAGCUUUGAUUUUCCAGAAAACGUUCCUGGUUUGCUGAAUUCCCAGCAGAACUGGACGGGAUGAAGCUUGGAGAGAAAACACCACAGUCACCUCAGUUGUGAUGCUCCUCUGCUGCAGUGCUCAGCUGUGUCACCCAUCAGUUACUGCAGCACCACAGCUCUGUCAGCAGUCCCUCUCCCCUGCAGUGUUUGGAAGUGCUCUUCGGCUGCUGCUCCCAUCGGGGGGACGGGCAGUACUGAAAGGAGGCAGACUGACAGGCUGUUUGGCCUCCAGCAGAGAGCGAUUGUAGUCUGAGGUCAGAGGUCACAGUCCAGGGAGCCGAGACAGAAACCAGAUCACAACAGAAGGCUAAUUAUCAUGCACUGUAGCUGGCCUCCUGCUGGGACUGCAUUCGCUUUCACCAGCAGGCCGCAGUGAAGCUUCUGGACCUCCUACAUUUAAAACUGGAGCUGUGAAGAGGCGCUGCUGAAUCAUGUCAGAUGGCGACACCUUUGCCUCUUUUGAGGCACGUGCAAUAACAGCAUUUAUUAGCUCUUUAAGGAGCAGCUGUUCUUCUGACACGUGAGGUUCCUCGAGAUCAACUGACUCUGGAUCCCCCGGACUCUGUUGCUGGUUGCACUAUUGAGGGCAACACACACAGUGCUUCAUUUUCCCCUCGUCUCUCUGUAAAAUGUUUACCCCAGGCACGACACUACCUUCAGAGUCUUAAAUCUUUGCUUCGCCUUCAGUGGUGCAGAUUUGAAUCGGCUCUGUUGUUUCACAAGUUUCAAUGGCAGAAUUCAUAUUUCCAAAUGAUAUAUAACUUUUUUACAAUCUGAACUUGGUUCUGUAUUUUGUGUCAAUUGUUGAGUUUGUGUCUUAGCUAUGUGGAUGUCAAACAUUUAUGAGAGAGAAAGAAGCUUGUGAUGAAAUAUUCACUUUCCAAUACAGUGGUGGCAUGCUCCUUGAAAACCUUUACAAUUAUAUCAUCUGCAUAUUCAUGGUCUAAUUCCAUGAAUGUCAGUAUGACGUCUGGCUCUUUCCAUUUCUGUAUCAAAGAGCUGUAAACCAUAUCACUGAGGAAUAUCAGAUUAUCAAUUUUGAUUUUUUUAAGUCUAGGCCAGAUUUUUAUCAACAGCCGUUGGGUGAUGGCAUCAACUUUUUCAAUACAGGAAGGUGAACUGGCAUUUUCAAUGAUAAUAAUUUUUAAAUGUUUAUGUAGCUUCACUCAUUCACCUGCAGACACAGACGGCUAUCAGAAUGGUCACACGUCUUCUUAGAGGACGUUACAGGUGAACACGCGCGGUGAGUUACAGCCAGUGAGGAGUCACGCAGUUUUUGUGUGCAUGUCUGUGCUCGUGGACAUUUGUGAGCAGAAACACUUGUUAUUAAAUUAUGCACUUAUAUUCAGAGUUAGAAAUGAAAUCUUUGUAUUAGAGGGAAGGAGUAUAACAAACUAUAAAUUAAGCUAAUUUGCACGUUUUAUUCUGCUUUUCUAAUCAAAAAAUGAUAAUGCAAGAAAAAUAUCCAAAUAUUAACAGAAAAAAGUGAAACCAAACUCUUACUCUCACCACCCCUCUCUAAAAUCAAUAUAUAAUAUCAUAUAUAAACACUUGUGCUAACAAUUCAAGAAACAUUUGGAAUAUUUUAUAUUCCUCCCCUCUUUUUCCUUUUUUCCAGAUCCUACACAUGUGACACACGGGCAGCAUGGUGGCACGGUUAGCACUGUUACCUCACAGCACGAAGGUCCUGAGUUCAAUUCCACUAUCAGGCCAGGGUCUUUCUGUCUGGAGUUUGCAUGUUCUCCCCAGUUUCCUCCCACGGUCCAAAAGGCAUGCAGUUAGUGGGGAUAGGUUAAUUGAAAAAUCUGAAUUGCCCAUUGUUUUUAGAAAAAUCUAAAUUGCCCAUAGGUGUGAGUGAAUGUGAGUA